rnacentral:rRNA from 1 species
CAGGGAAACCUGUGCUAAUACCGCAUGACAUCACAUAGGGCAUCCUGUGUGAUCAAAGGAGUGAUCCGGUGGAAGAUGGGCCCGCGUCCGAUUAGCGAGUUGGUGAGGUAACGGCUCACCAAGGCGACGAUCGGUAGCCGGACUGAGAGGUUGGCCGGCCACAUUGGGACUGAGACACGGCCCAGACCCCUACGGGAGGCAGCAGUGGGGAAUAUUGCGCAAUGGGGGGAACCCUGACGCAGCGACGCCGCGUGAAGGAAGAAGGCCUUCGGGUUGUAAACUUCUUUGAUGAGGGACGAAGGAAGUGACGGUACCUCAAAAACAAGCCACGGCUAACUACGUGCCAGCAGCCGCGGUAAUACGUAGGUGGCGAGCGUUGUCCGGAAUUACUGGGUGUAAAGGGCGUGUGGGCGGGGAUGCAAGUCAGAUGUGAAAUACCGCGGCUUAACCGCGGGGCUGCAUCUGAAACUGUGUCUCUUGAGUGUCGGAGAGGAAAGCGGAAUUCCCAGUGUAGCGGUGAAAUGCGUAGAGAUUGGGAGGAACACCGGUGGCGAAGGCGGCUUUCUGGACGACAACUGACGCUGCGGCGCGAAAGCGUGGGGAGCAAACAGGAUUAGAUACCCUGGUAGUCCACGCCGUAAACGAUGGAUACUAGGUGUAGGAGGUAUCGACCCCUUCUGUGCCGGAGUUAACACAAUAAGUAUCCCACCUGGGGAGUACGGCCGCAAGGUUGAAACUCAAAUGAAUUGACGG